rnacentral:rRNA from 1 species
AGAGUUUGAUCCUGGCUCAGAACGAACGCUGGCGGCGUGCCUAACACAUGCAAGUCGUACGAGAAAAUCCGCUUCGGCGGGUGAGUAAAGUGGCGCACGGGUGAGUAACGCGUGGAUAAUCUGCCUUUAAGCGGGGAAUAACUUACCGAAAGGUGGGCUAAUACCCCAUAAAGCUAUGGAACUCCGGUUUUCAUAGCCAAAGAGAGCCUCUGCAUGCAAGCCCUCACUUAGAGAUGAGUCCGCGUACCAUUAGCUAGUUGGUGGGGUAAUGGCCUACCAAGGCGACGAUGGUUAGCUGGUCUGAGAGGAUGAUCAGCCACACUGGAACUGAGACACGGUCCAGACUCCUACGGGAGGCAGCAGUGAGGAAUAUUGCGCAAUGGGGGCAACCCUGACGCAGCAACGCCGCGUGAGUGAGGAAGGUUUUCGGAUCGUAAAGCUCUGUCGGGUGGGAAGAAAUGUAUGGAGGUUAACAGCCUUUGUACUUGACGGUACCGCCAAAGGAAGCACCGGCUAACUCCGUGCCAGCAGCCGCGGUAAUACGGGGGGUGCUAGCGUUGUUCGGAAUCAUUGGGCGUAAAGAGCGUGUAGGCGGCUAGGCAAGCCAGAUGUGAAAUCCCUGGGCUUAACCCAGGACGUGCAUUUGAAACUGCUUGGCUUGAGUAGGGAAGAGGGAAGUGGAAUUCCUGGUGUAGAGGUGAAAUUCGUAGAUAUCAGGAGGAACACCGGUGGCGAAGGCGACUUCCUGGUCCUAUACUGACGCUGAGACGCGAGAGCGUGGGGAGCAAACAGGAUUAGAUACCCUGGUAGUCCUGGCCGUAAACGAUGGGUACUAGGUGUUGGAGGUAUCGACCCCUUCAGUGCCGCAGCAAACGCAUUAAGUACCCCGCCUGGGGAGUACGAUCGCAAGGUUGAAACUCAAAAGAAUUGACGGGGGCCCGCACAAGCGGUGGAGUAUGUGGUUCAAUUCGAGGCAACGCGAAGAACCUUACCUGGGCUUGACAUACACCGGACCGCAUCUGAAAGGAUGCUUCCCUUCGGGGUCGGUGAACAGGUGCUGCAUGGCUGUCGUCAGCUCGUGCCGUGAGGUGUUGGGUUAAGUCCCGCAACGAGCGCAACCCUCGCCCUUAGUUGCCAUCAGGUUAUGCUGGGAACUCUAAGGGGACUGCCAGUGAUAAGCUGGAGGAAGGUGGGGAUGAUGUCAAGUCAUCAUGGCCCUUACACCCAGGGCUACACACGUACUACAAUGGCCGGUACAGAGGGCUGCAAGACUGCAAAGUGGAGCCAAUCCCUAAAACCGGUCUCAGUUCAGAUUGAAGUCUGCAACUCGACUUCAUGAAGGUGGAAUCGCUAGUAAUCGCAGAUCAGCACGCUGCGGUGAAUACGUUCCCGGGCCUUGCACUCACCGCCCGUCA